rnacentral:rRNA from 1 species
UUAAGCUAGUAAGAGCACACGGAGGAUGCCUAGGCGCUAGGAGCCGAUGAAGGACGUGGCGAACAACGAAAUGCCUCGGGGAGCUGUAAGCAAGCAUCGAUCCGGGGAUGUCCGAAUGGGGGAACCCGCGUAUCGUAAUGGAUACGCACUCCGUACUGAAUCCAUAGGUACGGAAGAGGCAUACCAAGGGAACUGAAACAUCUAAGUACCUUGAGGAAGAGAAAACAAUAGUGAUUCCGUCAGUAGCGGCGAGCGAACGCGGAAGAGCCUAAACCGAUGCACUUGUGCAUCGGGGUUGUGGGACGUCAACAUGGACUGAGCUCAUUAGGUGAAGCGGUCUGGAAAGGCCGGCCAGAGGAGGUAAAAGCCCUGUAGCCGAAAAUGAGCAAAAGUGCUAGACGGAUCCCGAGUACCGCGGGGCACGUGAAACCCCGUGGGAAUCUGGCAGGACCAUCUGCUAAGGCUAAAUACUCCCUAGCGACCGAUAGUGAAGCAGUACCGUGAGGGAAAGGUGAAAAGAACCGCGGGAGCGGAGUGAAAAAGAACCUGAAACCGUGUGCUUACAAGAAGUCAGAGCUCGUUCAUGAGUGAUGGCGUGCCUUUUGUAGAAUGAACCGGCGAGUUACGUUUGCGUGCAAGGUUAAGCAGAAGAUGCGGAGCCGUAGCGAAAGCGAGUCUGAAUAGGGCGAAAUGAGUACGCAGGCGUAGACCCGAAACCGUGUGAUCUACCCCUGUCCAGGGUGAAGGUGAGGUAACACUCACUGGAGGCCCGAACCCACGAAUGUUGAAAAAUUCGGGGAUGAGGUGGGGGUAGCGGAGAAAUUCCAAUCGAACUCGGAGAUAGCUGGUUCUCCCCGAAAUAGCUUUAGGGCUAGCCUCGGGAGGUUGAGAAAUGGAGGUAGAGCACUGAUUGGGUGCGGGGCCCGCCAAGGGUUACCAAGCUCAGUCAAACUCCGAAUGCCAUCUUCUUGGACCCCGGGAGUCAGACGGUGAGUGCUAAGAUCCAUCGUCAAGAGGGAAACAGCCCAGACCAUCGGCUAAGGUCCCCAAGUGUGUGUUAAGUGGGAAAGGAUGUGGAGUUGCAAAGACAACCAGGAUGUUGGCUUAGAAGCAGCCACCAUUUAAAGAGUGCGUAAUAGCUCACUGGUCGAGUGACUCUGCGCCGAAAAUGUAACGGGGCUAAACACACCACCGAAGCUGUGGCAGGAGCGAUCUAACGAUCACUCUUGGGUAGGGGAGCGUUGUAUGCAGGUUGAAGGUAGAUCGUGAGGACUGCUGGACAGCAUACAAGUGAGAAUGCCGGUAUGAGUAACGAAAAGACAAGUGAGAAUCUUGUCCGCCGAAAACCUAAGGGUUCCUGAGGAAGGUUCGUCCGCUCAGGGUAAGUCGGGACCUAAGGCGAGGCCGAAAGGCGUAGUCGAAGGACAACAGGUUGAAAUUCCUGUACCACCGUGAACCGUUAUGAGCGAUGGGGUGACGCAGAAGGGAAGAGUUGCAGACGGAUGGAAGAGUCUGUCCAAGCAGUAAGGCUGGUGUGUAGGCAAAUCCGCACACCGUAAGGCUGAGCUGUGAUGGGGAGGGAAAAUUGCAGUACCGAAGAACUUGUACUCCAGCUGCCAAGAAAAGCCUCUAGCCAGGGAGAAGGUGCCCGUACCGUAAACCGACACAGGUAGGUAGGAAGAGAAUUCUAAGGCGCUCGGAAGAACUCUCGUUAAGGAACUCGGCAAAAUGACCCCGUAACUUCGGGAGAAGGGGUGCCUCGGUAGGGUGAAUAGCCCGAGGGGGCCGCAGUGAAUAGGCCCAAGCGACUGUUUAGCAAAAACACAGGUCUGUGCGAAGCCGAAAGGCGAAGUAUACGGGCUGACGCCUGCCCGGUGCUGGAAGGUUAAGGGGAGUGGUUAGGGGUAACCCGAAGCUAUGAACCGAAGCCCCAGUAAACGGCGGCCGUAACUAUAACGGUCCUAAGGUAGCGAAAUUCCUUGUCAGGUAAGUUCUGACCCGCACGAAUGGCGUAACGACUUGGGCGCUGUCUCAACGAGAGAUCCGGUGAAAUUUUAAUACCUGUGAAGAUGCAGGUUACCCGCGACAAGACGGAAAGACCCCAUGGAGCUUUACUGUAGCUUGAUAUUGGACUUGGGUACGAUCUGUACAGGAUAGGUGGGAGCCUGAGAAGCAUGUGCGCCAGCAUGUGUGGAGGCGACGUUGGGAUACCACCCUGAUCGUAUCUAGGUUCUAACCCGCGACCCUGAAUCGGGUUGGGGGACAGUGUCAGGCGGGCAGUUUGACUGGGGCGGUCGCCUCCUAAAAGGUAACGGAGGCGCCCCAAGGUUCCCUCAGAAUGGUUGGAAAUCAUUCGAAGAGUGCAAAGGCAGAAGGGAGCUUGACUGCGAGACGUACAGGUCGAGCAGGGACGAAAGUCGGGCUUAGUGAUCCGGUGGUUCCGCAUGGAAGGGCCAUCGCUCAACGGAUAAAAGCUACCCUGGGGAUAACAGGCUUAUCUCCCCCAAGAGUCCACAUCGACGGGGAGGUUUGGCACCUCGAUGUCGGCUCAUCGCAUCCUGGGGCUGAAGUAGGUCCCAAGGGUUGGGCUGUUCGCCCAUUAAAGCGGUACGCGAGCUGGGUUCAGAACGUCGUGAGACAGUUCGGUCCCUAUCUGUCGCGGGCGUAGGAAAUUUGAGAGGAGCUGUCCUUAGUACGAGAGGACCGGGAUGGACGUACCGCUGGUGUACCAGUUGUCUCGCCAGAGGCAUAGCUGGGUAGCCAAGUACGGAAGGGAUAAGCGCUGAAAGCAUCUAAGCGUGAAGCCCCCCUCAAGAUGAGAUUUCCCAGUAUGUAAGACCCCUUGUAGACGACGAGGUAGAUAGGUUCGGGGUGGAAGUGCAGCAAUGCAUGGAGCUGACGAAUACUAAUCGGUCGAGGGCUUAACCUA